GUAGUGACGAAAAAUAACGAUACGGGACUCAUCCGAGGCCCCGUAAUCGGAAUGAGUACACUUUAAAUCCUUUAACGAGGAUCCAUUAGAGGGCAAGUCUGGUGCCAGCAGCCGCGGUAAUUCCAGCUCUAAUAGCGUAUAUUAAAGUUGUUGCGGUUAAAAAGCUCGUAGUUGAAUCUGUGUGUCACGAUGUUGGUUCACCGCUCGCGGUGUUUAACCAGCAUGCCGUGAGACGUCCUACCGGUGGGCUUAGCACUUCACGGUGCGGUCCAAAUAAUAUCCUAUCGCGGUGCUCUUCAUCGAGUGUCGAGGUGGGCCGGUACGUUUACUUUGAACAAAUUAGAGUGCUUAAAGCAGGCUAUCUUCGCCUGAAUACUGUGUGCAUGGAAUAAUGGAAUAGGACCUCGGUUCUAUUUUGUUGGUUUUCGGAACCCCGAGGUAAUGAUUAAUAGGGACAGAUGGGGGCAUUCGUAUUGCGACGUUAGAGGUGAAAUUCUUGGAUCGUCGCAAGACGGACAGAAGCGAAAGCAUUUGCCAAAAAUGUUUUCAUUAAUCAAGAACGAAAGUUAGAGGUUCGAAGGCGAUCAGAUACCGCCCUAGUUCUAACCAUAAACGAUGCCAGCUAGCGAUCCGCCGAAGUUCCUCCGAUGACUCGGCGGGCAGCUUCCGGGAAACCAAAGCUUUUGGGUUCCGGGGGAAGUAUGGUUGCAAAGCUGAAACUUAAAGGAAUUGACGGAAGGGCACCACCAGGAGUGGAGCCUGCGGCUUAAUUUGACUCAACACGGGAAACCUCACCAGGCCCGGACACCGGAAGGAUUGACAGAUUGAUAGCUCUUUCUUGAUUCGGUGGGUGGUGGUGCAUGGCCGUCUUA
rnacentral:rRNA from 1 species